CUGCCCGAUGGACGAUCUUCUUCCUCUCCGGUCUCCUCUUCUUCUUCAACACCCGUUCUGUUGUCUGCCUGUCGCCCGACAUGAGUCUCCUCUCCUUCUUCGUGUUUGAAUCAGGCUUUGUAAACAGAAAAUACUAUUGCAUUGCAUCUGUGGUUGAGAUUAAAAAGGCUUACUAUCUCAAGGUAAAAUGUUGUGUGUAGGAUUAAAAGCCGAAAGAAGUGGCAAAAGCGAAGCCGCCUACCACAGUUUGCUUUCAUGACUAAGAGUGAAGUCGAUCAUCUGGAAAACGGCUAUAGGUGGCAAAAGUAUGGACAGAAAGCAGUAAAAAAUAGUCCAUUCCCAAGGUUCGGCUGAAAAUUCUUCCAUUUGAUAUGAUAGGGCAUUUCGUGUUUUAUCCCAUGAUUGAAUUUUAAGCCUUUGGAAGUUUACUUCUUUUUUUUUUUUCUUUUUCUUUUUUUACUUGUUCAUUUUAAAACUUUAAGCAACUAAUUUUGCAUGAAUUUGAUUCUAGAUUCCCAUGGGUUGGCGACAGUCAUAAUCUAAAUUCUUCUUUGGGGAAGAAGUAAUUCUUUGGUAACCAUGUUUUUGAAAAGUGAUUUAUUUAAAUGCUUGUCUUGAACUAGAAAAAUUGGGCCGCCCAAUGGUAGCCAGCCCAUGUUUUGGGGUCUCAGCUUCCAGCCCUGGUUACCUACUAAAAGAGCUAAAGAAAUGAGCAGAAGUACUUCCAAAGAAAAAUAGGAAUGAUUUGAUUUCUUUAUUUUUCUUGUAAUCUAAUAUUGUGUAAUUCUCACACACAAAAUUCACUGGACCAAGGUUAUGGAAAAUCUUAUGGACAAUCUGCAUCAUCAAUAUAGACCAUCCAUUUGGCCCAAACCCCCCUUUAUAGGCUGGCUUGGAAAAAAAAAAUCAUCUUAAUUGGACAAUCAAAAUUGUUGAUUAAGUGGCAUGAAAAAAUGGAUAGAUGAGAUCCUUCUUAGAAGGUAACUUGACCAUACCAGUAUUGUGAUUUUUGUAGGGUGGCAGAAGAAGAGUGACCAGACCCAUUGGAUGGUCCAGGUAGGUAAUGUGGAUGCUAAAUAGUGCCCAUGCAUAACCCACUGGACUCGUUCUUAGUAAUUAUCUUACAUGUCCAUUUCUUGCCUUUAUAUUUUUGCCAAACCACCUGAAGCAAAUUCACUUCAAUACAUUUUUUCUUGUGAACAUUUUUUGAAUUUAUUUAUCAAGCAAAUAAAGUUCAAUUCUAUUUUAUUUUUAAAUCUACUUUUCUUUUUUCUUUUUUUCUUUUAUUUUAUUUAGCUUUUCUCUUAUCUUUUGAAAUAAAAAUUCAACCGAGUUCGGUGCCAACUUCAGAGCUUGCAAACAGGGUACACUUAAGAUCCAGACCAUACAUUAGUUGGGGCUAUGGAUGGUCCUUGGCUCAAAAGUUACACUGAUUGGACAGUUACUAUUUUUCAGUAUCGAAAACUUUUUUUGAGUGUAGGACAGCUGCUUAAAUUUUACUUCUUGAGCUUCUACCCCUAUUUAGUAUGUCACCAAUUUGAAUGGUGAGGAUCAACCAAUCAGUAUAGCUUUUGGAUGUACAAAUCCUCAAUUGCAAGCCACAUAUUAUGAAUUGUCUAAAUCUCUCCAGUGUGUACCUGUUUGGAUUGCGCUGUGAGUAACGUGAAAGGAAAUUGUUUUGGGAGUGUUUGGUUGCACCAAGUAUUGCAAUAUUUCAUGAUAUGUGUUUGUUGAUGUCAUGCAAUACCAUGUUUGAUUUCCUCUGUCCACGGCACUACUUAAAGCAUUCCAGUUGUGGCAGCUAGCUUUCUCCCUGCCUUUUAUGCUUCUUCACCAAUCAGACUCAUAAGUCGAUACUCUUUUACAUGUUUGUUGAAAGAAUGCAAUUUUUUCUUGAUUCUCUGGGCCCUUUGUAUACACUCUAUCUUGAUUGCUGUUUUUAUCAACUAACGAGCAACUGUAAAGAAAAGUAGUUGUAUUGUUAAUAUGUUAUCCAAUCUUAUAAUCAAAUAAUCAGUUGGAUGCUUAAAAGGAUAAGGUAUCUGCUUGCCCUCUUCCUAGUCA